GCCCCCUCCCCCCGCCCCAGGCGGGCUCGGCGGGGCGCCGGGGGUCCCCGCUGCGCUUGACAGGCGGCCCCGGGCGCCCGGCGCUCGGGCGGAAACGGCAAAGUUCCCUCGGCGGCACCCACGCAGCCCGGGUCCCCGAGGGGCGCCGGGGUGUGCGUUUCUCUUUCGGAAGAGGAGGAAAGUUCGAGGGGAAGGGGGCGCGGGGCACGUCGGGCCCCCUUUGUGCGGCCAGGAAAGGCGUUGCGCCGGCCGCGUCCGAGGCGCGCCCCCACCCCCGGAAAGGGAAGUUUGAGAAGUUGCUCGGGCAUCCGAAGGAGGCAGGGGAGCCGCGCGGCCCGGAGCCGAGGCCGCCGAGCAGGCAGAGCAGCUGGCGCACCUGGGGUCGCCGCGGCCCGGGCCGAAGCCGCGCGCCCACCCGGGUCUGGCCGAGCCACCCCCUUCAGUGGCCAGCGAGUCCAGCCUUCGCUCGGGGGAGGCGCCGCACGUCGCCCCAGGCCGGCUUCUCGGCCCGCAGUCGCUGUCUGCAAGUUCCAAGGAAAGAAACAAUUUCCCGAGGAAAGCUCUCUGGCCCCGCUGAUGGCUGGGCGUGGACGGGGAGGGGAGCAGGGAUGGUCAGGUGGAAGGCGGAGAAUUACGAACUCAGUGCCUACUAGGUGCUGGGUGCUGGAGAUGGGGCCUGGAGCGAGACUGCCCUGCCUUCCCUGAGUUGAUGGGUUCUGGAAAUGUUCGAUUCCUGACCGUCCGUACGCUUCCUAGAGGUUUCUGAAGGUGAAAAAUGCAGGAAUUGAGUUCUUACUGACUUGCUGCGGAAAGUGCGGAACCCCUGGGACCUUAAAAGUUAAAGUUUUUGCAGCUGUGAUUCCGACAACUGAGUGUCUGCAGCUGGGGUCAAAGUGAACUGAGUAUUUGGACCUUUCGAGGCCUCAGUUCCUUCAUCUGUAAAAUGGUUACAUUGGGAUAGUUUUACAUCCCUUUCAUUGGUAGCGCUUGUCGCUGCCUUUCCCCUUCGGUGAUUUGGAGAUGCCUUGUGUAGGUAGAUUUGGGACGAAGUGUAGAGGAUCUGACAGGCCACAUCACCUCCAGGUACUUGCUUGUUUUUCCCAAGGGGCCACAGGCAGACUUGACCUUUAUGUUUGUCCAGAAGAGAGAAGCACCGGGUUCUACAUGGUACCUUUCAGAGGAUUUGAAGUGAGUUGAGAACUUUUUAAAAUGAUGCCUCAUAGGGAACGUGGCAUGGAGAUGGGAGUUUUCAGUGGAAUAAGGCAGAAGAACUGUUGUAAACAUAACGUCCUAACGCGCAUUUGAGUUUAAUAAGAUCCUAGUAUUUCAUUCUUGGAUGUUUUCCGACGUUGCAGCGCCACAAUGUUCAACUGUCUCUGAUUAUAUUCCAGACACUUAAAAACUGAACUAUAUUUUGCUAGUAAAGCUUUGAAACAGCACCCUUCAUUUUCCAAGUACGUUAAAAGUCAUUAAAACUCUUCGUUUCAGAUUACGAAAGAAGGAAAUCAGCAGGCCCUGAUUUGGUUAGGUUUUGUUUACGAGGAUAAGAUUUAUGAAUUUUCAAAUUCCAGACUCAGUAGUUCAUGAGUCCGUUUCAUUUCAUCUGUAUACACAUUUUUAAACAAAUAGCUUAAGAGCCUAGUGGCUUUUCAUUCGGGCUUGUGAACAGUUUUGCAAAACCCACAGGUUUCAUAUUUUGAUGGAAUUAAAGUUUCCGAAUUUGAACUAAGGAAUCACUUUGAAUUUGGAUUCAUUUGAAAUUAAAUUUUCAAGGAUAGUUGAAGGUUGAAGGUAGCUAUAAUGAAAACAAGAAACCUACCUUCCACUUGCAUUUUAAUUUUCCAUGUGAGUAAACGGUUUCAGGAUUUUUCUAAAGUAACUGGUAAACUGUCCAGGCUUUUUCAGAGCAUCUUAAUGUGUGAUAAGAUGGGAGGAAAUGAGAUUGUUUACCGUGUCUUGUUAGGUCAUCUAAGUAAGUCCCAUCUUCUGUUUGGCAGACUGAUAAGUGGGCAGAGGAUUUCAGCAUAAGAACGAACUUCUCGAAGAAAUGUUCUUAAAUCCUGUUUUGUUUGUUUGUUUGUUUCGUAGACCCACUCUUCCCGAAUGCCCCAAAUUAAGUAAUUACUCUUUAGGGGAAAAUCUUAAAUGUCAAAAAACUCUUCAGAUCUGAAAAAUGCCGCUUGUACUUUUCAAAUCCCUAACAAGAGAUUUCUGUGGCGGUCUCAGUGUUGGUAAAAGUGUCACACAGAUAAACUUCUUUCCUAAAAUCAUGUUAUGUACUUACUUUGUCAAGGUCAGAGACUAGAGAUUGCUAGGCCCGGAAUUUGAUCUUUGGUCCUAUUGCUUUUCAGAAAACACAUUUAUACCCCUAGGCCACUUCCUUUAAUAACAGCUUACUUUUCACCCGUUAUGGUUUAUACAAAAAACUCAUCAUAGUUUGGAUUUAUUGCCUUUUAUCAAGGUAGCACCCCAUGGUGAUGAGUCCUCAUUACAGUCUGUGUAGCUAUCAUAACUGCUACAAGGUUUCAAUUUUAUUUUUUUAAAUGUUUCUUUAUUCUUGAGAGAGAGAGAGAGAGAGAGAGAGAGAGAGAGGAAGGGACAGAGAGAGAGAGAGGGAGACACAGAAUCCGAAGCAGGCUCCAGGAUCCGAGCUGUCAGCACAGAGCCAGACGUGGGGCUUGAACCCAGGAACCACAAAAUCAUGACCUGAGCUGAAAGUCAGACGCUUAACUGACUGAGCCACCCAGGUGCCGCACAUGGUUUCCAUUUUAAUUUACCAAUCCUUUGUUAUCAAUGCUACUUUAAAAUUUUUUCUUUAUUUUUUUUUAACCCGAAGUUUCCAAUUAAGAAAGCUACCUCAUUGGUGCCAUUGUAAAAAGUGGCCAGUACUCAUUCUGUCUUCUCAGUAUUUAUGGAGUAUGUUCUUGUGCCAGGCUCAGACCUGAAGACACUGUCCUGAAUGAAUAAGAUGAGACUUGGUCUUUGCUCUCAUUGAGUUUAACGUUUGGGAGGGUGUGAAAGGCCUCGUGCAAGGACUUUGAAAGGCCUCCAUAAACAAGGGCACAUAGUUUAACCCUGUGCACUUGGAGGCGUUAAUGAACCCUGGUGGUUUAUUUCCUAGACCCCUCUUUCAAAAGCCCAUUUGCUUGUUGAAUGCUCUUAUAGGAGUGCCUGUUGAAUGUUUGUUUUUCUCCGUCCCUCUGAACAUCUUUUCUUUCCAUUGGUCUGUCCUUUUCUAUACCUGCCAUGUUGUAGGUCCCCACUUGGGCCACCCUGGUUCCCCACUCUGUAGCCAUUGUGGUAGACCCAAUGUGCCCAUCCAGUCUUUCUUUUGAGGAUAGGCUUAGAGAUACCAGCUUUGGAAUCGAGGCCUCCUGGGUUCCAGAACCACCUCCUGCUUACUGGCUAUGGGGAUUAUGGAGCCAUGGUAAAGAUUAAAUGAAAUAAAGCUUUGAAGUGCUUAACACAGUGCCCACAGCAUAAUAAAUGCUCAAUAAAUAGCAGCUUUCAUUAUUAUUAAGUCCUCAAUCAGGCCUCACAAGAUGCUCCAUGAUCUGGUUGUCCUUUGAUUCUGAGACUUUGCAUCCCACCAAGUGUCACAUUUUCCCAAUGUACCCCUGUCAUCCUGUAUACACACGCCCUGAAUAGUUUAGCCCUUUUAGUUAGUGUCUUUGUUCAAGCUGCUCUCUGCUCACAUCUCCUGUUCCCUGAAUAACUUUCCCUUGUCUUUAAGACUGCACUCAAGGGGCGCCUGGGUGGCUCAGUCGGUUGAGCGUCUGACUUCGGCUCAGGUCACGAUCUCACGGUCUGUGGGUUCGAGCCCCGCGUCGGGCUCUGGGCUGACAGCUCAGAGCCUGGAGCCUGUUUCAGAUUCUGUGUCUCCCUGUUUCUCUGACCCUACCCUGUUCAUGCUCUCUCUCUGUCUCAAAAAUAAAUAAACUUGAAAACAACAACAACAACAACACUUUGCUCAAGUGUCAUCUGCCUAAAGAAACCUCAACCCCAGGUUGAGCUAAGACCUUAGCACCCAGGAAAUGUUGAGCUGAGCUGCUGGUACAAUCCAGACCAAGCAUUUUAACAACCAGGCAAUCACUAUGUAUCGGGAGUUUGUCUGAAUGGUAAAAUCUUACUUUUGGUUAGAAUAGUUUUGGCUCCGGGGUGCCUAAGUGGCUCAGUUGGUUGAGCUUCUGAUGUCGUCUCAGGUCAGAGUUUGUGAGUUUGGUUCAUGAGUUCAAGCCCCACAUCGGGCUGUCUGCUGUCAGCACAGAACCCACUUUAGAUCCUCUGUACCCCCCUCUCUCUGCCCCUCCCCUGCUUGCUCGCUCUCUCCCUCAAAAAUAAAUAAACAUUAAAAAGGAAAGGAAUCGUUUUGGCUCUGAUCUCAGUGGGCAGUGUGGCUGUUUUUAUCCUAUGUCCUUGUUUUCUUAUUCUGGUGAGAUAUGGAAUAAGAGGCUUCAACUUCUGACAAGGCAUGAAGGAAAGUUCUCAUCCAGUCCCUUCAGCUAUGCAUUUUGAAUUAGCAUUAGGCAUUCUAAGCCCUUCCAAAACGUUAGGGUUUCCACCGAAGAAAUUCUCCAGUAAAUCCUGAAUUCUCUGUCCUUUUUUUCGUUCUAGAAGGUUGUCGAAAGGAGACUUUCAUUAAAAAUGAAGUGCUGAAAUCUAAAUAUAGCUUUUAAGUUUCUUUUUUCAUCAGGGUUUUAUGUUUUGGUUUAUAAGCAGUGACGCAGAGUUGGUCUAAGGGCAGAGUGGCCCUCGAGCAGUCUCUCUGUGCUACAGAGCUGUGUGGAUGUUAUUUAGGUCUGAUGCAAACCACCAAAACAGGUUAAAAUAGGGUGCAGAGGAAACCUACUUCCUGGCUAGAGCAUGGCAUUAUUUAGCCAAUUUCCACAUAAAAGCAUAACUCCGCUCCCUUGUUACCUUCCGCUCUCUGGGUCCUCACUUACAGCUUUGGCCGAUUUAAGGCAUGAUUCUCAGGGGAAGUGACUUAGCAGAGAAGCAUUAGCAGUAAGAACACUCACCACGUGUUUUGUGCUACCUGUUUUCCGUGUCAUCUUGUGUCCCGUUCCCCCCCCCCCCCCCCCCCCCCCGCCGUACUGUUGCUUCUGACCUGGGCACCGAGAUCAUUCUCCUUCCUUGCCUGGCAUGUCAGGAGGGUUUAGAAGGCCGAGCGGGCACAUUAGCUCAUCUCAGGGAGAAGUGGGGAGAAGGGAAACCAGCAUUUGAAAAUCUGCUCGCAGCCAGCUGCUUGACAUGGCUGAUCUAAUUUAAUCUUCAGAAGAAGCCUGCUAUCUUUAUUUAUAAAUGGGGAAGAUGGAGUCUGCUCAAGGUCACUCGAGGUUGAAGUUCAGAUCUUGAGCUCAAGCAUUCUGACACCAAAACAUUGCUUUUACAUCAUCCCCUGAUAACAGCAACUGAAGAUGUUCUGAUACCUGGCUACUCAACGCGUGGUCCAGAAUCUGCAUUUUAACAAGAUCCCGGGGUGAUUCAUGUACAUACUUGAGAAGUCCUGCUCCAGUAGCAUUAAAGCAUUUUGCACAGAGGAGUCAAAGGAUCUACAGUGAUUUUGGGAGAUCAGAUCAGACUUGCUUCUGCCACUGAGGAGGAGAAGGAUUCCAGGGGAGUAGUAGCUCCUGGUUUUCGGAGGGUGUUUUGAGUCCUCCCUAGCUACAAGGCCCCCUUUAAACCGUAUGUAAGUAAUGCUCCGAGGCUAGCAGAGGCGAAUGCUCUGACAGCGCUUCAGGUCAAUUACUGAGUCAGUUUCACCCUGUUUACCCAAAGUGUCUUCCAUGGCUCUACCCUUGACCAGCAACCAAGAUCCUAGGGAUCCAUUUCUCUGCUGAACUCAUGGCAUUUAUCACGUUUACUCAUUAGGCUUUUAAUCACAGACUACCUUGACAUUUGUAGGCCUUAAUUAAGAGCUAUCAUACCUUGGCAUUUCUGAAAGUGGCUAGCACUGUGCUGUAUAUAAAGCAUGUCCCCAGUAAAGUAAUGAAUAAAUGCCCGGUUUUUCAGGACAUGGUUCUCCUCUUCAACAUUAAAAAAAAAAAUCUUUUGCCUUGAGAAACUUAUCUGGUUGAUGCUGAGUGAGAACUCACUAAAUUUUUCUUGAAUCCAUCAACAUUUAUUUUAGAUGUUCUAAGCACCACCGUGGGCUUUUUCUGUGAUUGGUGACUGUAUUUUAUUUACCAUAAGGCAGGUUUUUUUGCACCUUGGUUACUUUCAUCUUUAAGAAUUUUGGGUCACUAGCAGUUACAACAACAACCAAUUCUCAUACCUCUUCCUGAUCUUAUUUUUUUCAAAUAACUUUAUCUUCUGACUUUUUUCUUCUUCUUGACAAUUUAACUGUAUUUGGCAAAAACCAAAAUAAACAAAAAACUGAAAAAACUUUCCAUUGAAACUUGUAUCUCAUGUUGCUGCCUUUUAUAUCAAAUGUCAACUUAUUCAGCAGAAUAACUGUAAAUCUUAAUACCUCGAAUCUCUUAAGCAGAUGUUUAUUUACAACAGGAACCUAAUUACAUGAAAUGCAUAACCAUUUGCUUUCAUAUUUGCUCUUAAAUCAUGCUACCAUAAUGAAAAUCUGAACUCUUACCUUCUGCCGUCUGUAAGAAGCUCAGUGGUUUCUGCCCAUGGACACCCUCUGUCCCUUUUCUCUUUAAUAAAUAUACAUGGCCAUCAGUUAAAUCUUCUCCCCAGACUUCAUUUUGAACAGGUGACCCCUGCUAGAAAGCCUUCCAUGGAUCUUCUCUGUCGAUCUCGGGGAUGGAUUACAUGGCCCUUGCUUUCUGUUUGAGGUCAGGCGCUGCAUCAGUAUCCUUGGUUCCUAAGACUCACUGAUGGUUCUUCCUAAGACUCACAAGAUGGGUUUGAUGAUUGCAUGCGUGAAUGAGGCCAGUCCUCUCCCCCAUUUCCCCUUCUUCUCUCAAGCAUGCUAUGGGCCCUGGUUCCAUUCAGACUGGGUCUCCUCACACAUCCUUUUGCUUUUAGAUUUUCUAUGUUUGACUGUUCUGCUCCCCCACGUUUUCCCAUUCUCUACCCAUGUCCUACAACACCUCCACCAUGCUGAAAUAAUGCCUGACCAAAUGCCACUCCCUCUGUUGGGUUUUCAGUUUAUUAUCCCAUCAGAUCUCCUUUCUUUCUCCUCUUUGCAGCCUCUCUAACAGGCCUGGCUUCCACACUCAGGUGGCUUUGGUGGCCAAGCUACUCUUGGCUGUAUUAUGUGCCCCUUAUUAGAAUGAAAAUUCUUUGAGGGACAACCUUCUGUCUGAUUUUUCCUGGCACUCAGUGUGUAUUCUCACUGAAAAAGGUAGUUGCUGUUUAGAAUUUAUUACUUUUAAAGACCAGGGAAACUGCUUAUAAAUCCAAGAUGGGAUGGAGAUAGAUCUAUAUCUAUAAUAUUAACUAUAGAUAUUUUUUAUAUAAAUUUAAAUAUAUUUUUCUAGACUGUUGACCCUUUCACCACCAAGUGUGUCAUCAGUGGUCUUGUCAUUUAUUGCCACCUUGAGGGAACCUUGGGCUUGUGGGAAAUUUUAAACCAUCUGAUGCGUGUAAGUUGCUCUUUGCAGUGGAGGAUCCCCUGUCUUCGGUCUUUAGUUUCUGUGAACUUGGGGGAGCUGUAGUCUGUGGGUGUCAUAGCCUGUUGUUUUUCCGUCCGUCACCGACCGCCUUUGGUUCAUUUAUCCUCUUGUGUGUGAAUCUUUUGUAGAGGGCCCAACGUGUUGUGACUAUAGAAGCCAGAAAAAGUCAUAAAGGAAAUCAUAAUACCAUCAGACUCAGGACAGGUUUUUAUUUAUUUAUUUAUUUUUGCCACUCCUGCCUUUCAUUUUUAUGAAUGGUGGGUUAUCUCCUGCCAUUGGGAUAGUUGGGGAAGGGACAGUUGAAUGAAGGAGUCUUAGUGCAAUGGAGAGUGUCCGAAAACACCCUUCCACCUGCCCAAGGGAGGACAUCCCAUAUUGCAAAGAUGACUCCUGGCUGUACCUUCUGGAAAGGCUGUAGACAUGGCCCCUAGCUCUCUUCCAGCUGGAUUGUCACCCUUAGAUCCCCCUCCUCCAGGGAAAUUUUGGAGCUACCCAUGAGUUCAUAACAUUAGGCAUGGCUAGCAAUGCCCUUUCUGUUCUAUCUAGGGAGAAAGGGAGAUGAAAUAAGAAUUUUAUGUCUUAAUAUUCCGUCGCACUUACAGGAAAUGGUUUUAAUUUGAUGGAUGUUGGUUAGCUUUCAAAACUGCUGAAAACCUUUUAUCUUUCAAGAUUUUGACGAUGAAAUUGGUGAGGAUGUUUGUGGCAAUUAUAUAAUCGGUUAUGCAGCACUGUGCAAAGCAUUUUGUCAAACUCAGAGCGUCUCCUGUUACCAGUUUAUUAAUGAAAUACUUAUCUUCAGGGCCAAGGAAGGAAUCUAGUUUCCUACUAGUUUCAUAUUUACUUGUUGGAUAACUGUUGGAGCUACAGUUAACUCUGUUCGGAGCUCACUGGCUUUGUUACUUCUCAAGGUAUAACUCCUCUUAAAAGCAAUUGACUAAAUGUUAGAUGCCUCUGUUAGUCAUCUUCUGCUAAUCAAAACAGCUUUCUUCUUCUCUCUCUCUUUUCAUAGAGAGUUCUGUAAUUCAUCUUUAAGUUCUGGGAAGGGAAUCUUCACCGUGAGCUCUGAUACAAAGUACUGUUUUGAUUACAAUCAGUACUUUAAUAAAACGUAUGUGAAAGUGAGUUACGGUGAGCAUUUGAUAAUGUAUAUAAUUGUCAAAUCACUGUGUUGUACACCUGAAACUAAUACAAUAUUGUAUGUUGAGUAUACGUCAGUUAAUAAUAAUAAUAAUAAUAAUAAUAAUAAUAAAGGAGUAUUUAGAGGGAGCCCCUGAAUGUCUGAUUGAUCUUGUGUCCCUGAUCUUAAAUCUACUUCCCUUGUUACACAAAGUGACCAUAGAGGCCACCCUGGCACUCGUGCUCUCUGAAUUGAAGUGUCUUUGAAGUUAGGGGAAAAUGAAGGGAUCAGAGUGAGCAGCUGAUGAUUGUGCUGGUUGAAAGCCACUCGUGUGACCUUUAUCAGCAGUGACCAGGGCUGCGGUAGAACGUCCUGCUUGUGGUGAACAUUUCUGCCCACAGCCCUCCCUGGUGCAUAUCUCUUGGGAACACGGAAAAUGUCUUUUGUUGUUCAAAUAGCUGUUAAAUGAAGAUGAAAAGCACAACAAACAUCGUAAAAAUAGUCAUUUGCCAGCUUGUCCAGGCAGAUAAAAAACCUAGUGUCAGGAAAACAGAAAAGAGCAGUGAUUUGAAUAACUUUAUGAGUUCUGAGACUUACGGGGGAAAGAGUACCAGUGGGGAAAAGAGUCUAGUCUGAUAACUUUGAAGAAAACAUAUUGACCAUGUCUGGUUAUAAUGAUUUUCAAAUAAUCCCUUAUGUUAAUAGAGUGCUUUAUUAUCUGUAAAAGAGUUUCACCUGGAUAUCAUAUUUCAUUUUGGAAACGACCCUCUGAGUGGGUGUAAUUACCCUGUUUUACCAAUAAUAUGGAAAUGGAAGCCCAGAAAGAUGAAACCAUCUAAGGCCUUGUAAAGCAUCACAAGUGUGUGUUUUUGUCAUUUUACCAUCUUUUAGUCAUCGUACCCCUGGCUGCUUAAUUUCUAAGAAAAUGUGAGACAAACGCUAUGGUCCUAUCAUAUUUUUAUCUUUCAGUAGCCAAAUUGAGGAAGACGGGAUCGUAGGAUUGACAUCAGAAGCCUUGUUCUUUGCCUCAAAAAUUGGAAACCAUAUUUGGGACCGGCGAAUACCCUCCUUCAAGAUACACUUCUUUGAGGGUUUUGUCACCCGUCUUCCUAGAGCUGAAGCUAUAUAAUGAGUUAUUUUUCUUGUUCUCCUUUUCUUGUAGGGCAGUUUUUCUCUUAAACACCAUGCGGUCUGCCUUCCCGAGGGUUAUAUCACCAUUGCCAGUAGGCACAUGUCGCCAUUUAUAAAAGACUAUGGCUUUGCCACAGUCUUGUAGUUGUGCUCGUCUUCAGAGUUUCGGGAUGCUUCCCAUAAUCACACAGGAAGGGUGUGUCUUCACCAUAUAGACAUAGAGGUCAAGUAUUGUCCUUGGCUUCCUUUCCCAGAACUUCUUAGAGAUGAAUGUCUGAGUAAAGAUACGGAGAAGAACAAGAUUGUUUUGACUGGCAGAACACAAGAAACACAGGCAUCCAGUAUUCUGGAUACCCUAAAUUACUUUUGUACCCUAAAACCAAGAGCACACUGUAUACACUGUAUGUGAGCCAACUUGACAAUAAACUAUUUAAAUAAAUAAAUACAUAAAUAAAAGGAAAAAAUAAAUUACUUUUGUAUACAGUAGCUUCUAUCUUGAGGAGUAGCAAAGCCGACUUAUUUGACUGACAUUUUCAAAGGAUAUGGUAAAGAAUGACCUUGAUUGGCAGAAACUGCACUCAGCUUGCAAGCUACACAAAGCUAAUGGACACUCCUGCUUGCCUGCAAUUUGUUCUAGAAAUGUCAUUUCCCCCACAACAUAAAAAGAGAAGUUGAGUCAUGAUGUUGUUUUACUUAAUUUUGGUUAAGGAAACAAAUCAAAUCAGCUCCCACACUAUAGUAUGGACUUCUUUCUCUUCUUUUCUACCAUUCUUCUUUUUUUUUUUUUUUUUUUUUUUCCAGUGGACUUGAGACUAAGGAUUAUUCUGAUCUUUCCAUCUCUGGGAAAAUUUCCUAGAAAAGAUGAUCUUCCUUAAGUAAUGACUGGGUUCAUGAAUUUAUAUUAGAAUCAGAUCUUCUUCAAAUUAGAAUGGAUUUCAGUGUUACUUUUCAUGUACUUCUUGUUUAAAAGGGAUUUCAUGGUAAAUCUUCUAGAAUACUACCUAUUAUAUAAUCCUUUUAAAAAUGGUAAUUUGUGCAUACCGAUUCCUGUUAAGGCAGAUGUAACUGUAUUUAGAAGAAUAUUCAAAUUUUGAACAUUUCAGAGGCGAUCCUUCUUCAGAUCUGGUGAGAUAGUACUCAGUAUAUAUCUGUUAAAUGGAAUAAGAAAGAAAAUAUACCACAGAGACAAGGAAGAGAAGUUAAGCUGUAGGACUAUAUUGACUUAAAACUUAUUUUUUUGUGUGUUCUAUCUGUUUAGCUUUGUGAUUAUCUGAAGGAAAAACUUGUCCACAACCACGAACUCUGAUCUAGGAGCUAUUUAUCUUAUUAACUCCUUUGGUAGUGCAUCUGAAAGGAGAUAACACUUUCCUAUGUUGGACUUUUUGAAGUCAUUAUUCAUUUUGCCUUGUGGAGUCAAAGCCCUUUAGAAAUUCAGCUUUCUCAGGAAACCUGCCCCUUAGGUCUUCAAAGAGAUCUCCCUUCAAACUCAUGCUCUUGGUGAUUGACCAGGGAUUUCCACCCUUGAAAAACAUAGGAAUAUGUAAAAUCCCUACUAAAAAAUUAACCUAAAAUGACCUUCCAGGGGUGCCUGGCUCAGUUGGCUCGGAUGACUCAGUUGAUUGAGGGUCUGACUCUUGAUUUUGGCUCAGAUCACAAUCUCACGGUUUGUGAGUUUAAGCCCAGCGUGGGGCUCUGUGCUGACAGUGUGGAGCCUGCUUACAAUUCCCUCUCUCCCCCCUCCCCUGCUCGUGCUCUCUCUCUCUCUCUCUCUCUCAAAACAAAUAAAUAAACAUUAAAAAAAGAAAAACAAAAAAUAAAUAAAAAUGACCUUCCAAGCGAGAAUUUGUACAACAGCAACCAAAUGCCUUGGGACCGAUUAUGUUUACGAUCCCUGCCCUAUCCCAAAACAUUACUGGAGUUUGAGUCACAUAAGAAAAUCACUUGGGUUGGGUUUGACCCAACCCGUGUGCGUUGAUAAAAAUGUUCUGUUAAUAAUGCAGUUUGCGACUUUCCCCGCAGCCAGGCCAAGUUGAGAGGCAUGGUUUGCAGGCAGGCCCUCCUCUCUCGCGGACUGCCUUGCUCCCUAUCUCUGACCCCUGAGCUUGUUCCUGUUUAGCUCUUCACUCCAUACACAAUAAAUCCUUUCCUGAGCUGUAUUUACUUUUUUUACUUCCGGCUGCACAUUAGAAUCAUAUGGGGAGCUUUUAAAAUAAUCCCAGUGCCUGAGCCAAACGCCUGAAGUUCUGAUGCAUUCGCCCUGGUGGAGGGCCCGAGCAUCGAUAAUUGUUUUAAAAGAUCCCCCCAUGAUUCUGUUGUGGAACCCAGGUUGAGACAGACUGAUUUCUACAAAUGGAGAAUUUGCACAGAGAAGUCGAGGCGUUCACUUAAUGUCCCGCAACAAAGUAGUACCAUUUAUGACUCCUGACUCUAAAUCCAGUAUUAACAAAUAAGGGCAAGGCUUUGUUGGAGAAUGAGGGGAGAAUCAAAAUCCCUUUACUUCUGGAAAUUCAUCGGCAGAGUGGGGUUAAACACACACCCAUCUAAAAGCCUGUCUCACGGUACAGGUGGUUAAAAACCAAGGCCGAAGGAAUCGGAGUGCUGGGCCCUCCUCAGUGGUUGUAUUUGUGCACCUGCUUCAAGGGAACCAAGGGAAGCUGGGGGCAUGCCUGCUUGCAGUAUAUACCCAGCAACCACACCCAGGACUCUUCCGGUUCUCCCGAGCGACUCCACCCUCCAGAGCGGACAGUCGGCACACUCACUGAGCUGGGCCUCUCCUUGGGGAAGGUGUCAGAUGCCAGGUGUCCUUGGAGAGGCCAUUCUCUGAGUUCCUUUCCAGCUGCUGGGAGAGGCGCUGCCCUCUCUCUGAGGCCUGGGCAGACCACGUUGGGGAUGGUAGAUCUUAUGCGGAGGUGGACACGCUGGGGGUGGAGAAGGAAGAAAGGGUGAACAUAUCAUAGGGGUUCUGAUAAGACGUCGUUCAGCAGAAGGAUACUCAGAUCAUCGGGGCCUUAAAUGCCAGGCCAUGUAGUUGGGCUUAAUUCUCCGAGUCACUGGCAGAUUGUAAGCAGGGACGUAAUCGAACCAUCCCCAGGCCAGACGUUUGUGAUGGGAAGGCUGUGAAUGCCUUUCUUCUCUUUUCCUCUGAUGCCUCUGCAGCUAGCAGAGGGCAGCGGAACCCAUCCCAACCUGCCUGUGCACCUGGUCAGCACCUGCACCCUUCUGGAUUCUGAUCCCACAUCAGGGUUAGGGUGUCAUCACCGGCACUUAAUGGUUUUUUAAAAAAAAAAAGAACAGUUCUUUCGUUGGACCUCAGAAGAUAUAGGUGGAAGCUCUUAAGCAUCGCAGAACCUCGACUGUCUCCACCUUAUCUUUAGGUUCUGUGCUGAUCUCGCUCCAUACAAAGUAGUCUGCCGACUCUUCUGGAAUGAGGUAUGAACAAACCAAACAGGGGCACAAAUUCAUUAAUUGCAAGGGGGCACUUUCUUUUGCCAGACCUCACUUAUAGAUGCUUUCCUGACGUGUUCACACCCCAAGUAUCUCAAACAUAUGCCUCAUACUUUUAGAAAUCUGAAGAAUUUAGAGUUUCAGUUGGGUAGAGCCUCAAUGGAAUACUUUUAUUAUAUCUAAUGCCAUUUUAAUGGGCUUGAGACUAGGGAGGUUGGAUUGAUUGGACAACGUAUAUAAACCACUGCAAGGAAUUUACUAGAGUGGAGAACGAUGCCAAUAGCUCAGAAAUGUGGUAUUUAGGGAGCUUUUUACUUCAUAAUCACCAUGACAACAUUGGGACAAAUUGUAUAGCCCUCUUAGAGAGCAAGCACUUGUUUGCUGGAACUUUCUGCGGUGGUGACAAUGUCUAAUGUCUGUGCUCGCCACUGUGCUAACCAUUAGCCACCUGUGCCUUCAAGUGUGGCCAGUGCAGCUAAGGAAUUGGGUUUUAAAUAUUAUUUUAUCUCAGUUACACUUAAAUGUAAAUGACCGCCUGUGGCUAUUGGCUUCCAUCAUGGACAGAACAGUUAUAGAAUAUCCUUAAAAUCCUCAUUCCCUUCAAGUCCUCUGAUGAAGCACAAUCAGAUAAUUUCUUAGCACCUAUAAUCAUAGGCAGAUUACAUUAUUUAUACCUUUCCAGUCCUGUACUUUGGAAUUGUAGGCUGUUUCUGUCUUGGAUAUAUGAUAUUCUAAUGUUUACGAAAAUACUCUUUAGUGUAGUACGCUUUAAUUAUAAUACUUUGUUCUAGGAGGAUCCAGCCGGGGCCUCUUUUAUCAUCUGUGUUUUUAGUUUUAAUCUUAAAAGGGCUAUAAAAAUAGUAUUAUUUUGUGGGAGAAAAAAAUAUGCUUAACGUCAAUGCCUGUGGAGCGGUAGGGAUUAUGAAACAUUCAAACUCCUCCUGGAAAUACUGGAUAAAGAGAAGUUAAAGAGGCAGGUAGAAAUCUCCAAGGAGAAAACUUGCCCUGGAGGAAUGCUUUUAAUUAGAUUUAGCUUCCAUCAGAAGAGUCUAGCAAGGUGGCUUUCCCUGAGGGCAUUGGGAUUUUCCCCUGUGAAUAAAUUCUCUCUGCCAUCGGUCACCUCUCUGCUACGUUCUUCUAGAAACUCAGCCUUACUUGGCAUGCCGUGACUUAAACCCUCCAAAAAACCUUGGAAAAGAAGCCAGUAUUUUUUCUAAAAUGUUAAUUUCCUUGCUUUAGGCUUAUGUAGGCUUUGACUGGAAACUCAAUCUGUGCGCCUCGGCUCUGCAUUAUGUUUCAGUCAUUGAAAUGGGGCUUAAUAAGAAUUACUUGAUACCUUAGGAGUCAGAUGAGCCUCACUUUUUUUUUUUUUUUUAAAUAGUCUUUUAUCUUAGGCACAGGGAUUUGCAUUUUGAGAGGUCGUGCCAGCUGACUUGAGCCUCUACAGGUUUCAGCUUGUUGCAAACCUAGUUUGGUCCAUUUUUCUCACUUCUGGGACCUUCUGUUGCUGCCACUCAUGGCUUAUGGGUUUACUGAGGAGAUCUAGUCCCUGUCCCUAAUUGUCUCCUGUCCCUACCUCAGCAGUAAUACUACAGAUAGCCAAUCAUUUCAUAUAUAACACGUCCCUUAAGAAGUCGGGAUGGAAUGUUGGGGCACCUGGGUAGCUCCAUUGGUUAAGCAUCCGACUCCUAUUUCCACUCAGGUCACGAUCUCACAGUUAGUGAGUUCGAGCCCCGCAUUGGGCUCUGCACUGAUAAAGCAGAGCCUGCUUGGGAUUCUCUCUCUCCCUCUCCCGUGUGUUCUCUCUCUCUCUCCCUCUCUCUCUCUC